UCGCUCAUCUCACUGACGAAUAUGCCACGGUAGCCACCAUUAUUCAGCAAUCAAAUCCCUUGCCAUUGUUUGACUAAGCUUGCUCGAUGCUUGAUUUGGAUCGCAUGAGCCAUGACAACAAUUAAAAAGGUACUUCUUCCUCCUCCACUAUUCUUGUUGCAUCUAAUGAUUCUUCCCAUUUGUCCAAUACUCAACAGUCACCCUCGGGCAGUGGUAGCCGUGGCAGCCGUGAUAAUGGUGGUCGUGACACUAGUGGCCGCAAUAAUAAAGGAAAAAAAGGGGCCAAGCCGAGGUGGUGGUGGUCGUCGUGGCUAUGAUCAUGGGGUUGGACACUCACCAUACUAUGGAUGGGCUCCACAAUGGGCCUCUCCACCGUGUCCUUAUCCUACUCAACCUCCACAGUGGCGCGGAAUGCCUUCGGUCAACAACCACGGUCUGCUAGGAUCUGCACCACGUGUCAAUAAACAGCAGCCCCAAGCACUCCUCAUAAAUGGUUACCAACCGACUGAUUUACCAGCAUUUUUUUAAUGCUUUGUUGCUUCAACAACCAGAUGAGAAUUGGUAUAUGGAUACCGGCGCCACCUCUCAUGUCAUGAACAAUCCAGGAUCUUCGAACGGGGUCUCUCUUGAUGAGGUCCAGUAGUGUGGGUGAUCUUUAUCCUCUGUCUCCAUCGUCCCCAUCUUCCACCUUACCAUCUGUCAAUGCUGUCCUACCUCUUUCCACGUGGCACAAUCGUCUGGGUCAUCCUGACGAACCCGUUUUGCGUUUUCUUAAGAAAAAUAAUUUUAUCAUGUGUAAUAAGGAAACUACCUCCACCCUUUGUCAUGCUUGUCAACUGAGAAAACAUUGCAAAUUGCAUUUUUUCUAUUUCUCUUUCUCUGACUAUGAAACCUUUUGAUAUUAUCCAUAAUGAUUUGUUUACUUCUCCAAUUUUAAGUCCUUCUGGAUUCUGUUAUUA